rnacentral:misc_RNA from 1 species
AUGAUUUGUGAUUUGAUAG